rnacentral:lncRNA from 1 species
AUUUAUCUAAGUCUCCAAAUUAGGUUGCAUUCUAUUCUAUACUCAUUUUAUUAGAGCUAGUCUUCUAUACUAUCUAUAGUACCGGGGCUCUGGUACUAUAGUCUCAUUUUCGAUCUUAGGGUAUUCAAAUUAACGAUCCACUCCGUUAAAACUAAUCUAGGGUAUUUAAAGUUUUUAGAAAUAAAAUUUUAUAUUCUUUCAACAUAGUUUACUUUAUGAUCAAACCAUUUCAAAAUUGUCAAUUUUUAAUGGCUACUAUGGCGAGUUUGGAGUUUAACGGUGUAGAAGAAUCUAAAUUUUUUCAAAUUUUGAUAGAAAAUACUUUAAACUAUCUAGAUUAAGGUUAACAUUCUUCAUCUUGAAUUUAAAAGUCCUAUGCUCAAAUUUUAAAGAUUAAUCAAUUUCCACCGUCCAUUUUGACAUAAUUUAUUUACUAAGUAAACGAUGUCGAAAAAAACUAAAAUUUUAUUCAUAAGAACUUCAUAUACCCUAGAUCAUAUUUAACUGUGUGGAUCAUUAAUUUGAAUAUCCUAAGAUCGAAAACAAGAGUAUAGUACCGGAGCUUCGGUACUAUAGAUAGUAUAGUAGCCUAAUUAGAUAUAUAUAUAUAUAUAGAGUUAGGCUGGUAUACUAUCGGUAGCACGGAGGCCUCCGUGCUACCAAAUUGUUUUCAAUGAUACGGCUUCUAAAUUGACGAUCGGCUCCACUAGACUUGAUCUACACUAUUGAAAGUAUUUGGAUACUAAAUUUCAUAAUUUUUCGGUAUCAUUUACCUAUCAAACAAGUAGUCUAAAAAUGAAUGGCUGAAAAUAAAAAUCUCAUAAAAAAUAGUGAUAAAGAAUUCAAAUUUCAAAUUGGAAGUAUUGGUCUUGCUAUUGAUGUUAAGUAGAAUUUUCUAUUAAAUUUUCAUCUAAUUUGGAUACUUCUACCCGUUGAACUUAAAAACGCA